AAUAUUGGACAAUGGGGGAAACCCUGAUGCAGCGACGCCGCGUGAGUGAAGAAGUAUUUCGGUCUGUACAGCUCUAUCAGCAGUGAAGAAAAUGACGGUACCUGACUAAGAAGCCUCGGCUAACUACGUACCAGCACCCGCGGUAAUACGUAGGGGGCAAGCGUUAACCGGAUUUACUGGGCGUAAAGGGAGCGUAGGUGGUUCGGCAAGUCAGAUGUGAAAGCCCGGGGCUCAACCCCGGGACUGCAUUUGAAACUGUCGUACUAGAGUGCAGGAGAGGUAAGUGGAAUUCCUAGUGUAGCGGUGAAAUGCGUAGAUAUUAGGAGGAACACCAGUGGCGAAGGCGGCUUACUGGACUGUAACUGACACUGAGGCUCGAAAGCGUGGGGAGCAAACAGG
rnacentral:rRNA from 1 species